CCUACGGGAGGCAGCAGUGAGGAAUAUUGGUCAAUGGGCGGAAGCCUGAACCAGCCAAGUAGCGUGCGGGAUGAAGGCCCUACGGGUCGUAAACCGCUUUUGCACGGGGAUAACACCCUCCACUUGUGGAGGUCUGCAGGUACCGUGCGAAUAAGGGCCGGCUAAUUCCGUGCCAGCAGCCGCGGUAAUACGGAAGGCCCGAGCGUUAUCCGGAUUCAUUGGGCUUAAAGGGAGCGUAGGCGGGCGUUCAAGUCAGCUGUAAAAUCGCGCGGCUCAACCGCGCCCCGCAGUUGAAACUGGACGCAUUGAGUUCGCAACAGGCAGGCGGAAUUCGUGGUGUAGCGGUGAAAUGCAUAGAUAUCACGAGGAACCCCGAUUGCGAAGGCAGCCUGCCGGGGUGCGACUGACGCUGAGGCUCGAAGGUGCGGGUAUCAAACAGGAUUAGAUACCCCAGUAGUC
rnacentral:rRNA from 1 species